rnacentral:rRNA from 1 species
CGGAAUUAUUGGGCGUAAAGGGCUCGCAGGCGGUUUCUUAAGUCUGAUGUGAAAGCCCCCGGCUCAACCGGGGAGGGUCAUUGGAAACUGGGAAACUUGAGUGCAGAAGAGGAGAGUGGAAUUCCACGUGUAGCGGUGAAAUGCGUAGAGAUGUGGAGGAACACCAGUGGCGAAGGCGACUCUCUGGUCUGUAACUGACGCUGAGGAGCGAAAGCGUGGGGAGCGAACAGGAUUAGAUACCCUGGUAGUCCACGCCGUAAACGAUGAGUGCUAAGUGUUAGGGGGUUUCCGCCCCUUAGUGCUGCAGCUAACGCAUUAAGCACUCCGCCUGGGGAGUACGGUCGCAAGACUGAAACUCAAAGGAAUUGACGGGGGCCCGCACAAGCGGUGGAGCAUGUGGUUUAAUUCGAAGCAACGCGAAGAACCUUACCAGGUCUUGACAUCCUCUGACAACCCUAGAGAUAGGGCUUUCCCUUCGGGGACAGAGUGACAGGUGGUGCAUGGUUGUCGUCAGCUCGUGUCGUGAGAUGUUGGGUUAAGUCCCGCAACGAGCGCAACCCUUGAUCUUAGUUGCCAGCAUUCAGUUGGGCACUCUAAGGUGACUGCCGGUGACAAACCGGAGGAAGGUGGGGAUGACGUCAAAUCAUCAUGCCCCUUAUGACCUGGGCUACACACGUGCUACAAUGGACAGAACAAAGGGCUGCGAGACCGCAAGGUUUAGCCAAUCCCACAAAUCUGUUCUCAGUUCGGAUCGCAGUCUGCAACUCGACUGCGUGAAGCUGGAAUCGCUAGUAAUCGCGGAUCAGCAUGCCGCGGUGGAAUACGUUCCCGGGCCUUGUACACACCGCCCGUCACACCACGAGAGUUUGCAACACCCGAAGUC